rnacentral:rRNA from 1 species
UACAGAGGGUGCGAGCGUUAAUCGGAAUUACUGGGCGUAAAGCGUGCGCAGGCGGUUUUGUAAGUCUGUCGUGAAAUCCCCGGGCUCAACCUGGGAAUUGCGAUGGAGACUGCAAGGCUAGAAUCUGGCAGAGGGGGGUAGAAUUCCACGUGUAGCAGUGAAAUGCGUAGAGAUGUGGAGGAACACCGAUGGCGAAGGCAGCCCCCUGGGUCAAGAUUGACGCUCAUGCACGAAAGCGUGGGGAGCAAACGAGGAUUAGAGUACCC